GUUUAUUAGAACAGGGGGUGUGGUAGUAAGUUUAUUAGAACAGGGGGUGUGGUAGUAAGUUUAUUAGAACAGGGGGGGUGUGUGGUAGUAAGUUUAUUAGAACAGGGGGUGUGGUAGUAAGUUUAUUAGAACAUGGGGAGUGUGGUAGUAAGUUUAUUAGAACAGGGGGAGUGGUAGUAAGUUUAUUAGAACAGGGGAGUGUGGUAGUAAGUUUAUUAGAACAGGGGGUGUGGUAGUAAGUUUAUUAGAACAGGGGGUGUGGUAGUAAGUUUAUUAGAACAGGGGGUGUGGUAGUAAGUUUAUUAGAACAGGGGGUGUGGUAGUAAGUUUAUUAGAACAGGGGGAGUGGUAGUAAGUUUAUUAGAACAGGGGAGUGUGGUAGUAAGUUUAUUAGAACAGGGGGUGUGGUAGUAAGUUUAUUAGAACAGGGUGGUGUGGUAGUACGUUUAUUAGAACAGGGGGUGUGGUAGUAAGUUUAUUAGAACAGGGGGUGUGGUAGUAAGUUUAUUAGAACAGGGGGAUGUGGUAGUAAGUUUAUUAGAACAGAGGGUGUGGUAGUAAGUUUAUCAGUAGAGGGGGUGGGGUAGUAAGUUUAGCAGAACAGGGGGUGUGGUAGUAAGUUUAUCAGUAGAGGGGGUGGGGUAGUAAGUUUAGCAGAACAGGGGGUGUGGUAGUAAGUUUAUCAGUAGAG
rnacentral:lncRNA from 1 species